UACGGAGGAUCCAAGCGUUAUCCGGAUUUAUUGGGUUUAAAGGGUGCGUAGGCGGGUUAUUAAGUCAGUGGUGAAAGCCUGCAGCUUAACUGCAGAAUUGCCAUUGAUACUGAUAAUCUUGAGUGCAGUUGAGGUGGGCGGAAUGUGUCAUGUAGCGGUGAAAUGCUUAGAUAUGACACAGAACACCGAUUGCGAAGGCAGCUCGCUAAACUGUAACUGACGCUCAGGCACGAAAGCGUGGGGAGCAAACAGG
rnacentral:misc_RNA from 1 species